CCUCCUGCCAGCGGACAGCGGGCGAGCCGGUGCCCGGUCAGCGCAGCCCCAGCGCCAGCGCCACGGACCUGCCCGCCUCAGGAGAGCCGGCGUCAGACGACUGCGGGCCACACGCCUGACCUCCCCCGCACCCCUCACCCACCUGGGGCGGCAGCCGGUCCGUGGCGGCGACGAUCUGCCACAGGAGCGCAUAAUUCCAGCUGCUCAGGUCGUGUGCACUGGCCAGAAACGCACACGAGGAUUUACAGCUCACCCCCACCAGGAGCUCCGCCGUCCCCCAGGUGAGCCGCGAACACUGGUCAGUAGGUCUCAGAGCUGAGGGAUCACCUCCCGGCAGACUGAGGGGCCACCAAGCCCAGAUGGCCCAGCUGGGCUCCCUCAGUAUGAUGUCCAGCACCCGCCUGGUGAGGCCUUCCCCACUCCUAGGGACGCAGCUCAGAGCCCCUGAUGGGCAGGAUGGGCUCCCAGGUGGCCCAGAGCCACCAGGCACACCUACAGGACACCCGCACAAAGGUCUGAGUCCCCCCACCUCACCUGGGACACGGGGACAUUUGUCUGAGUAAGGCAGCAGGCACAUGGCUUGGGGGUCAUUCCCAAGGGAAUGAACCCAAGGGGUUGUUCCCCUGAGGGAACAGGCGCGUUGCCCCCCUCACCUGUAGA